AAGUUUUCCAAAUCCUUUGACCAGGGUCUGGGGUUUUUAAAUUUCUCUGCUGGGAUGGAGAAUGCUUUUAAGAGUUUUGUGUUUCUCCCAGGGGAAGUUAAAUUUAUUGUGGAAAUUUUGGCCACUAGAGAGAGGCAAGAGGCACAGGAGAAGGCACUACACAUUUAAUACAGAAUGACAGGAGGAAACUGAAAUGGGAAGAAGAGAAGGAGAAAGGCAGGGAGGGAAGCAGGGAGCGAGAGAAGAGGAGCCAGUGCCAGCAGCUACGCGAUGGAUCCAGCCCAGGCAUCUCCCCUCCUGUGGACCUGUCUGGACCACUUCCCCCGGUACUUGCCGGUAACACACACAUGCUCUGCACAUUCUACACAUGUUUAUUUGCCUAUCUGUCCCCCUCCUUGAGGUCAAGG